GUCUCGAGGGUUUAAUGGGAGAGGACGUGUGAUACGAUGAAAAGCUUCAUUUCUCCAACCUUAGUGAAUGUGAAAACUAAAUGAGUGAGAAAAAAAAAAAAAACUUUUAGUAAGAUAG
rnacentral:lncRNA from 1 species